rnacentral:rRNA from 1 species
AUCGAACGCUGGCGGCAGGCCUAACACAUGCAAGUCGAGCGGAUGACGGGAGCUUGCUCCUUGAUUCAGCGGCGGACGGGUGAGUAAUGCCUAGGAAUCUGCCUGGUAGUGGGGACAACGUUUCGAAAGGAACGCUAAUACCGCAUACGUCCUACGGGAGAAAGCAGGGGACCUUCGGGCCUUGCGCUAUCAGAUGAGCCUAGGUCGGAUUAGCUAGUUGGUGGGGUAAUGGCUCACCAAGGCGACGAUCCGUAACUGGUCUGAGAGGAUGAUCAGUCAAACUGGAACAGAGACACGGUCCAGACUCCUACGGGAGGCAGCAGUGGGGAAUAUUGGACAAUGGGCGAAAGCCUGAUUCAGCCAUGCCGCGUGUGUGAAGAAGGUCUUCGGAUUGUAAAGCACUUUAAGUUGGGAGGAAGGGCAGUAAGCUAAUACCUUGCUGUUUUGACGUUACCGACAGAAUAAGCACCGGCUAACUCUGUGCCAGCCGCCGCCGUAAGAC